rnacentral:rRNA from 1 species
AUGAUAAGGAGGAGCAAGGAGCAGGAGGUGCGGCGCUACCUGCGCGAGCAAAAGGAGAAGGCCCAAAAUGAAUUGGAUAUAUCUUCCGCCGUCAGGCUGUUUUGUCGUAGGAAUGGUCUCACCCAAAGAUUGCGCUGGAUUAGGACGAUCAACAGAAAAAUCAUCGACAUGGAGGAGAGGGCAAUUAGCUUCACGCUGGAAAGACUGAUGCCAAUCAGAGACACUGUCCAUGGAUAUGUGAUCGAGAAGGAAGACCUAAUAGCUGAAAUUACAAGUCUUAUGAAGAAGGAAAGGGUGAGCAAGAAUGACCAUGAAGCUGGUCCCUCUGUCACGAAGAAGAGUCGUGUGGCGCUAUAA